rnacentral:lncRNA from 1 species
AGAGGUGCAAGUACCGAAUAACUCUAUCCACCAAAAAUAAAAAUAAAAACAUAACUCAUUUUUGAAACUGAGAUCUCAGUUUGCUCCACCAUGAUAAUUUCAACUACAUACCUGUCACUUCCCACCAGCAACAAGUACAGGAUAACUUUGUUCCUCAGUUUGCUCCACCCUGAUAAUUUCCACUACAUACCUGUCACUUCCCACCAGCAACAAGUACUAGAUAACUUUGUUCACCCGAACUAGGACACAUAAAAAUAAAUCACCUAGUAUUCACUCGGCUGAAAUUUGAAACUGAGACCUCAUGAUCGCUCUCAAUCCAUAUACGAGGUGCAGGUAACGGAUUACUCCAUCCACUAAAAUUAAUAAACAUAACUCGUUUUUGAACCAGAGAUCUCAGUUUGCUCCACCUUGACUAUUUCCACUAGAUACCUGUCACUUCCCACCAGCAACAAGUACUAGAUAACUCUGUCACUUCCCACGAGCAACAAGUACUAGAUAACUCUGUCACUUCCCACGAGCAACAAGUACUAGAUAACUCUGUCACUUCCCACGAGCAACAAGUACUAGAUAACUCCGUCCACCAAGAGUAGUACACAUAAAAGGAAAUCACCAAGUAUUUCUCUCAGCUGAAAUUUGAAAUUGAGACCUCAUGAUCGUUCUCAAUCCAUAUACUAGGUGAUGCAGGUACCGAAUAACUCUAUCCACCAAAAAUGAAAAAACAUAACUCGUUUUUGAACCUGAGAUCUCAUGAUACCGAAAUACCUCUUAAUUAACAAACUAACAAGAAAACAAUAAUUCACCAUAGCAACAUCAGUCUACAUGGUUUCCAAAUCAUCAACAUGUUCAUUCAUAUCAAACAGUCAGAU